UACGUAGGCAGCGAGCGUUGUUCGGAAUUACUGGGCGUAAAGAGUGUGUAGGCGGUGCUCUAAGUUCGGUGUGAAAUCUCCUGGCUCAACUGGGAGGGUGCGCCGGAAACUGGAGUGCUUGAGCGUGGGAGAGGAAAGCGGAAUUCCUGGUGUAGCGGUGAAAUGCGUAGAUAUCAGGAGGAACACCUGUGGUGUAGACGCUUUCUGGACCAUAGCUGACGCUGAGGAGCGAAAGCCAGGGGAGCAAACGGG
rnacentral:rRNA from 1 species